rnacentral:lncRNA from 1 species
GCCUUUUUCUGCUGCCGGCCAAGCUGUCUCUCUGCCUUUUCCACACUGCACCUCACCCAGCAGUCAAAGUAGGCAGUCCCUCGGAUUCCUACCGCAGUGCUCUGGCUCAAGACCUUCCGGCACUUGUUACAUAUGUAUCUUAUUGUGAUUCUUCUUCACCUUGUUCUCUGACUGCCCCGGUGGGACAGCGAUUCUUGGUUGUUCACCCUUCAAUCUCUCUGGCUUACAAGAAGAGUUCCUCUCUUGCAGCCUGAGUUGCCAUCUCAGUUGAACCAUUCGUUGCAAGCUGCUGGUCGGCCGCAACAAUUUGGCGCCUGAACAGGGACCUGAAGAAUGGCAGAAGGGCACUGAGAAAACGCUGUUGGUGUGGAGCUCCACGGGAAAGGCAAAGGAUCUUCGUAUCGG